rnacentral:rRNA from 1 species
GAGUUUGAUCUUGGCUCAGAACGAACGCUGGCGGCAUGCCUAACACAUGCAAGUCGAACGAAGGCUUCGGCCUUAGUGGCGCACGGGUGCGUAACGCGUGGGAACCUGCCCCUCGGUUCGGAAUAACAGUGGGAAACUACUGCUAAUACCGGAUGAUGACUUCGGUCCAAAGAUUUAUCGCCGAGGGAUGGGCCCGCGUAGGAUUAGCUUGUUGGUGGGGUAAAGGCCUACCAAGGCGACGAUCCUUAGCUGGUCUGAGAGGAUGAUCAGCCACACUGGGACUGAGACACGGCCCAGACUCCUACGGGAGGCAGCAGUGGGGAAUAUUGGACAAUGGGCGAAAGCCUGAUCCAGCAAUGCCGCGUGAGUGAUGAAGGCCUUAGGGUUGUAAAGCUCUUUUACCCGGGAUGAUAAUGACAGUACCGGGAGAAUAAGCUCCGGCUAACUCCGUGCCAGCCGCCGCAGUAAG